ensembl:lincRNA
CGAUUUCCUUCUAAAAUUCAGCAGCAGUCUUAGUGUCACAACUAUUCUUUUUCUGCCUUCUCUCCCUGCAACCAUCUACAGUAAUUUCACCGCAACUCUAGUCCCUGAAAAUUCUGUUUUCCAUAUGGACUCUUCAGUGGCUUCCCUGAUCAUUACCAAGGACUGCAAUACUGGCCCUAAACUUAUAGGCAGCAACAUUAUGAUGCACCUGCAGAUUGCUUUGCGCCUUUCCUGAGGAUUCCUGUAUCACUGAAGAAGUACAACCCUUGUUAGAUUUCUGAUACUUGCUGAGCGUGUGUCUUCCCAGUUUCUUGAUAAUAACUCCAUCCUUCCAGAACACCCAGAAUUUUUCCAAGGCAAAAUUUAGGGGAAAAAUGAUCAAAGUAAUUAAUAGCAAAUACCAUCAUUGGAUAGUCAGUGAUCUUUGGUGAUGAUUUUUCCCAUUGAAGUAAAUCUUCUUGGUUCUAUCCUGCAUUGAUUUCAACAUAUCUCAGCUUUUAGUAAAGAAAUAUACAGAAAGGCUUGAGGCAAUAAAAUCAAUAAAGGUUAAAAAUAUACAAUAAUAAAUAGAAUGUUAAAAAGUUUGGUACCUACACUCAAGCCAAACAGUUGAGAAGAACUAAGAAAUUAUGAGAAAUUUCCACUUAUGAAUGCAAAUGAAAUGGGAUUUUGGGAUAAACAUCAAAGAAGAAAUCUAAGAACAUCUCUUCUGCAAAUUUAAUUGAUAAUAAAUAUUAUAAUUGCUUUAGGAGGUAAUUUAGAGGAUAUUGUUAAUUUGCUAAAUUAUCUGAUUAUUUGAUUGUGU